AUGCGAAGGUGUUUUCUGUGAAUGUGUGAGACUUCCUAUUCAUUAGCCACUAUAGGGAGAUAACGAGAACAAUAUCAAAGUGCAGUAAACUGUAAAAAUGGGCAUGAUUAUAGGGAUGCGCAUUUGGCGCGAGUGCUCUAAAGAAAGCGUAUGCGCAGGCGCGCGUAACGUUAGUUGAUUUCACAAAGUGUCUUCGCCAACUACUUGUCUGGCAUGCAUAAUACAGCCUUUUUAAUAAUUUUUGCGGAUCCGUGUGAACAUAGUUGUUAGUAAUCUGUACAAAGAAAAAAUUUUUUUCCAUUUUUAGUACAUUGUUGUCGUGUAAGCGUGCCCUGGGGUUAUCAGUUUAUCUGAAUAAACUUAUCCGCAUAGCCAGCUUUCUGGAAUACCCCCCUGAUAUUUGAUAUUUUGAUUUCUGUGCUUGUUUCCCUCUGUUCUGUGCCAGUGUGUUUUGUGUUUCCAGCCUCUUUUGUCGUUAUGUUAAGUUUGAGGUCCUUUUUAGUUUACUUUCUUUAUCUUGGUUUUUCUCUUCUGCCCAGUUGUGUUGCCUGUUUGCCCCCCAGAACUCACCUUUGGACAGCACUCAUUUUUUAACUAUCUGUUCUGGUUUUGGAGUCUGGAUUCUCCCUCUCUACUUGGACUGCUGUUCUGACUAUCAGCCUGCUCUUGACAGUGAGCUUUGAUUCCUCUGAUACUCUCUGGCCCUUGUUUGAUCCUUUCUCUGUGUUCAUCUGACCUCGAUUCUCGCCUCACAACUGGAUAUUAUUUGCUGAUGGACUGGUCUGGAUUUCGACCCCAACCUGUUUGACUUUCCCUCUGCCUGUUGCCCAGAGUUGGUUCAGUGCCCAGAGGCUCACGCGGUUUUAUUUGUUGCAAGCAUGUGAAGUUGAGUGUUUUUCUGCUUUUUGGGUCCUUUCAGCAUAACAAUAGGCCUAUACAUCUCAUGUAUCCAACGAGCACCAGUGGCUACGUAUACCCCUGUGGGUUUAGCCAGUUGAUUUAUUUUGGAAACCUUUUUAUUUGCCAACCAGAAGAGGCUGCUGCACUGUAAAAAGUAAAACAUUGGUGUUCUUCGUUUGAUAUAUUUUUUUUCAUUCCAAUAGCCUAAAAUUAUUAGAUUGUUAAGUAAAAUUACAUUUUGUAAUUUAUAUGUGUCUUUCAAUCUAUUUUCUUAGAUCGAUACAAUAUAAAAUUAUAACAUAACAAUGAAAUUUAAAUUAUACAUUCGAUCAAACGACUUUUAUUAGAUUAAGCAUGGUUUGCGCAUGCGCACACAUGAAAACUCGAGAGAAGGUUCUGGAAGAGACCGAACGCAGCAGAAGCGGCAGAAGUCGGAGGAGGCGCAUUUUAAUGAACAGAUACGCAGAUUAGAAGUUAUUAUAACGUUAAUUUUGACAUUAGCGGUAUAGCGUUAAAAUUGCGCCAUUUUACAGCUAACGAUUUUCCUGGGAAAUCCAAGAACUUAAUAUUAUAGACCGAUUGAACGGAUAUUAUGAAAGGAAAAAAUAUUUUUUCGCUCUGAAUGUUGUAAAAAAAAAAAAAAAAAAAGUUGUAUUCAUGACUAAAGCUUGAGUAUAUUGCAUUUCUUUGCCGAAAGAAAUGAAUCGCCUCAUGCGAGUGACGUGUAACGUUUCCCGCUCAGAGUUUAGGCUUAACGUUACUGGCUCAGCUCCGGGCGCUCAAUGCCAUUAUGAACGCUGAUUUUAUAUGUUUUAUGUUUUAAAUUUGCGAAGGCAGGAAAUGAAUGUGAGGAAAAUUAAUUUACACUUUGAAACUGUAAAACUAAAACGGAUUAAUGUUUGGAUUUUAAUUUUAGGAAAGCUGCUGCUUGGUAGGCCUAGUUCCUGGUGCCAGUUCUGGUUGUCCAGACUUCGCUGACACUGAAAGAUGACAAUUUAAUAUUUGACUGGGAAGAAUUGCAAAUGUUGUGGGAGAGGUGGCCAGCACUUUUUAAAAUGGAAGAGAUCAGUGCUGAGUUCAUGAGAAUCACAACGGAAAAAUGGUGGUGUGACAAAGGAAAAGAAUGGCAGGAUUUUACAUCGUUUAGAUGAGGAUAUGCCAGGUGAUGGACUGGAGCAAACAAUGGCCGUCUUAAUCUGUGAGACAGACAGACACCAGGGUUCUCAUUGAGUCCACAGAGGUCCUCAGUAACGUGCCCUCAACCGCAGCUGCUGUAGCAAUGCUGUUUGGACUAACAUAUGUGGUAUACCUCGAGUAUCCAAAAGAACUGAAUUUCAAAGUUUUUUCUGAAAGUUUUAAUGGAACUUGGCGCAAGAAAAAUGACCCCCAAAAUAUGUCGCCUCUCCACUCUGCUGCAUAGUCAAUGACUAACUGACAGCCUCCAUUUCAGUGCUUUGAUGAACACAGGAUGGCAGAAAUUCUUUCACCCCAGUCUCCACUACAUCGUAUUAGUAGUUCAGUAGUUGUUUGUUGUUUACUGGAUGUGGCAAUAUCUCUGUUUUGUAUUUGAUUUACAUUUAUUUCUCUGAAUUAUAUUUGUAUUUGUAAAACAAUGUUUGUUUUGCCAAAAAAGUCUAAUCUUAAAAACAGUGAUUUAAUAAAUCUUUUAAAAUAAUGUUUGAUCUGACUCAUUUAAAAUAUAUAUAUUUUGAGAGAAUUUAAAUUUUUUAGAUUGUCAAUUGUGAAGCAUUUUAUAUUACUUGCAAUGAAUACAUAUUUCAGAUUGAAGAAAAUUAAAUUUAGAUCAAGUCUCUUAAAAACCUUUUUUUUAAUUUAAGCCAAUUUAAAAUAUUGAUUUACACCAAAUUCAUAAAAGAGUUUGCAGGAAAUCAAGUCUGUUAAAAAACGUGUUUUUUUAAUUUAAGCCAAUUUAAAAUAUUGAUUUACACCAAAUUCAGAAAAGAGUUUGCAUGAAAUGCAGAAAAUUAGUUUGAACUGAAUGGUUUCUGAACAUUAGGUCAAUGUAAAAUCUUUAUUGUGAAUGGUUACUUCAAUUUUAUUAAGUUAAU